UACGGAGGGGGCUAGCGUUGUUCGGAAUUACUGGGCGUAAAGCGCGCGUAGGCGGACCUGCAAGUCGGGGGUGAAAGCCCGAGGCUCAACCUCGGAACUGCCUUCGAUACUGCGGGUCUCGAGUCCGGGAGAGGUGAGUGGAAUUCCAGGUGUAGCGGUGAAAUGCGUAGAUAUCUGGAGGAACACCGGUGGCGAAGGCGGCAUCCUGGACCGGCAUUGACGCUGAGGAGCGAAAGCCAGGGGAGCAAACGGG
rnacentral:rRNA from 1 species